AAAAUGGUUGGAUUAGUUUGGAGUUUGGACAACAUCAGAAAAACCCAGACAUCAGCCCAGACUGACUCGGUCUCGAGCCGCUCUGCAGCGACGGAACUCGGAGGCGUCCUCCGUCGUCCGGCCGCCUCCCGGUGCAAGGCUGGUAUCCACAGGUCCGUCUCGCCGUCCCCGACCUCCUUGUAAUUCCAGUUUAAAGAGUGGAGCUCCGGUGAGAGAGAAUCGGAGGAGAGAGGGUGACUGCCUCUCCGAUCGGGUUUCCGAUCCCGACCACGACGGCGAGCGUGAACGGUAUUGGUAGCUUUGUCUCGUCCUCCCCAGCCUCCCUGUGAUCUUGCUUUCGUCAAAAGAGCUUCGGUGAAGGAGAUUCGAGCAGAAGAAGGAGAGGCUGGGUUCACCGGCGAAUGUCCGAUUCCGGCAGCGUCAACGUGCAUGGCUGGUGGCGUUAGCUUCACCUCAACCUGGAGAUCAUCUCUGUGCUUUUGUUUGUCCAGAUGAAUAGGCAUGAGGGAGAAUCGAAGAGAUGAAGGUAUUGAGUUUUCCGGCGAGGGUUCGACGGAUUCCGACGAGCUUUUGUUUCGAUUCAGGUAUUGAAAUUAAUCUAUUUGUCAAGCUCUACGUUUAUAUAUGAUUGAAAUUGAAAUUGGUUAAGGUUGGAAGAAGUUGAGUUUUGGCAGUGUUGUGGACCGCCGUGAGUGCCGCUGUGCACGGCGGUAGUGGUGAUGAUUUUGGGUUUUGGAUUUGCUAGUUUUGAUGUUGAUAGAGGCUUUAGAAUAUAAUUUCAUGGUUGGUUGUAAUUGAAUUCGAGAUUGGAGAUGGAGAGCUAGUUGCAGGUUUGUUUGGAUUUACUGUGUUUGGUGUGUGCAGCAGCAGUUUGUGGUUCACUUCUGAUUUUGGUUGCUACUGUUAGUGAUGCUUAAUUGAUUACUUGCCAGCUUAAGCUCACUGCUAUGGAAUACUAUGCGUGAUAUUAUGAGCUCUGUUCAUUUAUAUUUUGGCAAGUUGAAUGAGCUUAGAUGUUAUAGAUUUAUUAAAGGCAGAAUUGUACGAGGUCCGGCAAGGAGGAAUGGGCAUGGAGUAAGGAUUUAUUGUGGAUGCCAAGUAUGUUGGGUGUCCAGAGUAAUUCUGGAGAGUUUAGAUCGGAAUUGAAACGUGAUCGGACGAUGUCAAGAAAGAUCUUAAAUUGGAUAAUGGAAGUAUUUGUGUAUGGGAAGAAGCCUAUAGGUUUAUUUGUUAUGCCUACAAUGAUGAUUCCGGGAAAUGGUGUAAUGGAGAAGUCAAGAGUGAUCAUGAUUUAGAGAGGAAGUGAUUAAGAGGAUUUGGGUGUCCUUAACAAAUUGUGAGGACUCAGAUUAAUUUCCAUAUUGAAGCAACUCAUCAGUUUUCUUGGAAUUCGGUACGAGGAUCAGAUACAAGUAGCUGGAUUGCAGGUGCAGAAGGAUAAGGAUUUCAGAAUGCGUGUAGCUGUGUUACUAAUUUUAGCUAGCGUCGGAAGUAACGCUUUGGAUUCUAGGUAGGGUCUCUAUCGGGGAACCUUUCUUUAAUUUGAUAAUUAGAGUAAUAAUUGAAAUGUGAGAAUUGUGUGUCAUUGAGUGAUUAACUCUUGGUUGUUAUUAUUUUUGUUAAAGUAUGUGUAAUCGCUGAUUUAUAUGAAAUUGAUGUUAUUGCUUAUCAUUAAAAGCAUGUGUUGAAUGUCAUAUUACGUGCAUUGAUAUUCGAUUGCAUACAUUAUGAGGAAAUGUGAGGAAAUGUGAGGAUGGUGAGAAUGAUGAUUAUGGAGAAGAAUGAGAUUGAUAGAAUAGAUAUAUUUUGUGUAGUUGAGUUUCCUCAUAGGUUGUUCAAGAUCCAGGGUAGCCCACACGUGCACAAAUUCAGGGAAUGUAUGCCCUUUUGAUGGCGGACAUCGACAAAACGAUCUUAUCGGGUUUCGGGUUUGGAGACUAUGAGUAUAACAAGAUGACUAACAAAAGAGGUACAGGUGGUGAGAUAUUACUGAUUGUUAGAUCAUAUAUUCGAGACAUCUGAGUCACCCCCGUUUGGUAUAAUACACAAUAUGGGACGUGUAGGCUCACCUGUCUUUGAUGUAUGGACUGAUAGCUAGUAAUUGAGAAAGACAUUCAUUAGCAUAGAUGCAUCGAAUUGUUGUUAAAAAUAUUUAAAAUAUUGUUUGACGUUUGAUAACUUGUUUGUGCGACCUAAUUAAGUAUAACCUAAAAAGGUUUGGUCCUACUGAGCGUAAGCUCACCUCUAUAGACUUUUGUUCAGGUACGUACGGGGAACGUAUUUUCGAGAAGUCUAACUAUGAAGUUUAGGAGACGUGUACAAGAGUAGAAAAGAGUUAUGGAAGAUUAGAAGUGAGCUAGAUCGCAAGGGCUCAUCAUUUUGUUUUUGUAAUUGUUUUUGUUAUUGUAAACGUUUUAUUUUAUUUUCUUUCGAGAAAAGUAUUUGAAAUUUUUUUAGUUUCUUUUAUUUUUCCCGCUCACGUCUCGGGUUCGGUGUCAG
rnacentral:lncRNA from 1 species